CUGACGCUGAUGCACGAAAGCGUGGGGAGCAAACAGGAUUAGAUACCCUGGUAGUCCACGCCGUAAACGAUGAGUGCUAGAUAUCGGAAGAUUCUCUUUCGGUUUCGCAGCUAACGCAUUAAGCACUCCGCCUGGGGAGUACGGUCGCAAGAUUAAAACUCAAAGGAAUUGACGGGGGCUCGCACAAGCGGUGGAGCAUGCGGUUUAAUUCGAUGUUACGCGAAAAA
rnacentral:rRNA from 1 species